CAAUAGCGUAUAUUUAAGUUGCUGCAGUUAAAAAGCUCGUAGUUGGAUUUCGGGUGGGAAUGGCCGGUCCGCCGUUUCGGUGUGCACUUGCUACGCCCACCUUGCUGCUGGGGACGUGCUCUUGAGUUCACGCUCGGGACACGGAGUCGGCGAGGUUACUUUGAGUAAAUUAGAGUGUUCAAAGCAGGCCUACGCUCUGAAUACAUUAGCAUGGAAUAACACGAUAGGACUCUGGCCUAUCUUGUUGGUCUGUAGGACCGGAGUAAUGAUUAAGAGGGACAGUCGGGGGCAUUCGUAUUUCAUUGUCAGAGGUGAAAUUCUUGGAUUUAUGAAAGACGGACUACUGCGAAAGCAUUUGCCAAGGAUGUUUUCAUUAA
rnacentral:rRNA from 1 species